CCUACGGGAGGCAGCAGUGGGGAAUAUUGCACAAUGGGCGCAAGCCUGAUGCAGCGACGCCGCGUGAGGGAUGACGGCCUUCGGGUUGUAAACCUCUUUCAGUAGGGACGAAGCGGAAGUGACGGUACCUACAGAAGAAGCACCGGCCAACUACGUGCCAGCAGCCGCGGUAAUACGUAGGGUGCGAGCGUUGUCCGGAAUUACUGGGCGUAAAGAGCUCGUAGGUGGUUUGUCGCGUUGUUCGUGAAAACCUGAGGCUUAACCUUGGGCGUGCGGGCGAUACGGGCAGACUGGAGUACUGCAGGGGAGACUGGAAUUCCUGGUGUAGCGGUGGAAUGCGCAGAUAUCAGGAGGAACACCGGUGGCGAAGGCGGGUCUCUGGGCAGUAACUGACGCUGAGGAGCGAAAGCGUGGGGAGCGAACAGGAUUAGAUACCCGUGUAGUC
rnacentral:rRNA from 1 species